UACGUAGGUGCCAAGCGUUGUCCGGAAUCAUUGGGCGUAAAGCGCGUGUAGGCGGCCAGGUAAGUCCGUUCUGAAAGCCCGGGGCUCAACCCCGGGAGGCGGAUGGAUACUGCUUGGCUCGAGUCCGGAAGAGGCGAGUGGAAUUCCCGGUGUAGCGGUGAAAUGCGCAGAUAUCGGGAGGAACACCAAUGGCGAAGGCAGCUCGCUGGGACGGUACUGACGCUGAGACGCGAAAGCGUGGGGAGCAAACAGG
rnacentral:rRNA from 1 species